UACGUAGGCGGAAAAUUAAGUCAGUAGUGAAAUCCUGCAGCUUAACUGUAGAACUGUUAUUGAUACUGGUUUUCUUGAAUAUAGUUGAGGUAGGCGGAAUGUGCAAUGUAGCGGUGAAAUGCUUAGAUAUUACACAGAACACCGAUUGCGAAGGCAGCUUACUAAGCUAUGAUUGACGCUGAGGUACGAAAGCGUGGGGAGCGAACAGGAUUAGAUACCCUGGUAGUCC
rnacentral:rRNA from 1 species